CUCCAGCUCCUCCCUCGGCGGAG
rnacentral:misc_RNA from 1 species